ensembl:lncRNA
UAAAGCAUAAAAGAUGCUGGUGUAUCUGCCUUGGCCAAAUCCUAAAGAGUGAUCAGACUGGGCACUAGCCUGGACUUUCGCUGGCUACUCUGAUUCUUCAAAGCCCUUCAUUUAUUAGAGUUGGCGGUUUUGGCAACCGUGAAGGAACCCAGAGCAAAUUUCUCUCCUUCACCUGAACUCUAUGUGGAUCUAAAGCCAUGGUACUGGCAAGGGCUGCCUUGUGCCUAUCCACCUCCUUGGCCAUUGGGGCCAUACCCACAGCAUCUGGAAAUUCUCAGGCUACAGGUCAAAUUGGAGCUGCAGCAGCUGGCCUAUGUCACAGACACAGCAAUGCCGGAUCUGAGCCAUGUCUGCAACCUACACCACAGCUCACGGCAACACCAGAUCCUUAACCCGCUGAGUGAGGGCCGGGAUCGAACCCUCAUCCUCAUGGAUGUCAGAUUCAUUUCUACUGCACCACAGUGGGAACUCCACCUGGCUGGAAGGCAGGUGCGCACCGGCUGCCUUAUCCGUGUCCAGGUCCACUCCCUCUAUGGCCUUUCACCUCGGUGCACCGUCUAAUCUGCCAGGAUGAAACCGUUCACUUUUCCUCCAAACUCCUCACCUUCUGCAGCUUGGACACGGAGUCGAAGCUCUUUUCACCCUCGGUGGGCAACUUGCAAGUGAAUUUGUCGUCGUCAAAGUCUUUCCGGAGCUUCACCGCCUUCCGCAGCUCCACCGGACUCAGUGGUUCCACAAACCGGGAGCUGGCCCUCCAAGCGCGGCCGCUGGGGCGAGGGCGCGAGGCCAGCGGGCUCCCAGCCCCUCCACAGCCAGGCUCGCGCCCAUCGCGGCCGUUAAGGAUGUUGAUUCCUUGCCAAACUGCCAUCGGGAUUGCUCAAUUACAUACAUCUCUGCAAAGGCCAGAUGGAUUGUGGUGAAUAACAGCAGAUUAUCAACUUAACCAGAUGGACAUUCCAAAUAAGCUGAUGUUCAACCUGUCAUUGCUUUGUUGGAGCAAAUUGACGCAUUCUUUGGCGCCUGGUCUAUCAAAGUUGGAAAUUCUCUUGGGUGCAAGUGGCAGAAACUCAUCUCAGACUAACUGGCUGGAAAGAGCCUCGCACCUCCCCACCAUGGGGACGAGAAGAGGAGGAGGCCGCGGCGGGAGCAGGGCUUGGGCCUGGCUGCGGUUUGGUCCAGGUCAGUCUCCGGAAGAUGGAGGAGUUCUGUCAAGUCUCAACAAUCUUCACGGCUGUCGCUCUCCCAGCCAGGAUGUGCCAGACUGUUGCAGAAACUGUGGCAUCAGAAAGAGACAAAUGGCACUCGGAGAUGUGAAAUAGCCAGGUUUAUUCAGUAUCGCUGUGGGCUCAGAGGAGUCGCCUCCAGAGUCUGAGCCCCAGGUCUGUCUUCUGGGUAGCUUUUAUACAAUACAGACUUCCCAGUCUUGUUUUUCCCGAGCAAGCAGCUAGGCCCUCCCCCUUCCCCCAGCAGACAGUGUUCCUGCCUAAGAAGCUGAGUAAACAAGAUGACAAAAACGAAACUAAUAAGCAAUGCUUGGAGCACUGCUAGCAGAGCUGCUAGCAAGGGCAUAAGGCAUUUAGUUGCUGCAAGAUUACAGGAAGGGUGACAUGGGACCAGCAAAGCUGCUGUCAGGCAUGCAGCUGCCUCCUCAGCUGGUGGGUUGUUUCUUUAGUUAAAACUCUUCAAGACAACUUCACCAUAGCCAACUGUCUGGAUGAUCUGGAGGAGACCCUGCAAAUCUGAAUCUCUCCUCAGCAGAAGCAACCCAGAGGCCCCACCUGUUGGACUCACUGCUGGGCUUGGAGUCAAGGUGUCCUCAGGUGGGCUUGCAUUGGGAAGAGCUGGCGAGAAGCUUAGUCCAAAGCAAAAGAAAAGCAGUUCAAAGUUCAAACCAUGACCAUGUCUUUAUGAUGGAAUCAAAAUACAAUGCCAGAUAAAACUAAAAAUCAAAUACCAACAAAUUAAAAAGAAAAAAA